AGCGAACGCUGGCGGCGUGCCUAAUACAUGCAAGUCGAACGAAGUGGCGCACGGGUGAGCAAUAUAUAGUUAAUCUGCUCUACACACAGGACCAACAGUUGGAAACGACCGCUAAUACCUCAUAGUGUAGGAUGAGACUAUAUCGUAUCAGCUAGUUGGUAAGGUAAUGGCUUACCAAGGUGAUGACGCGUAACUGGUGUGAGAGGAUGAUCAGUCACAUUGGAACUGAGACACGGUCCACACUCCUACGGGAGGCAGCGGUAAGGAAUAUUGCGCACUGGGGGAGACCCUGAAGCAGCAACGCCGCGUGGAGGAUGACAGUUUUCGGAGCGUAACGUCCUUUUAUAAGGAAAGCGGUACCUAAUGAGUAAGCGCCGGUUAACUCCGUGCCAGCAGCCGCGGUAAUUC
rnacentral:rRNA from 1 species